rnacentral:rRNA from 1 species
AACGAGACCUUAACCUGCUAAAUAGCCAGGCUAGCUUUGGCUGGUCGCCGGCUUCUUAGAGGGACUAUCGGCUCAAGCCGAUGGAAGUUUGAGGCAAUAACAGGGCUGUGAUGCCCUUAGGUGUUCUGGGCCGCACGCGCGCUACACUGACAGAGCAAACGAGUUUCUUCCUUGUCCGAAAGGUCUGGGUAAUCUUGUGAAACUCU